AGCACAAAGAACAAAACUAUUUAAAGACCACACACAUACCCUCUCAAACAAACCACCUCCCUUUGGGAAAGCAACAUGUUCACUGUGAUAAUUCAGCACCAGGACCUGAGGUGGUGGGAAGAGCUUUGGUUGGUUUGCUGCUCUCCAAGGAGCUCCUGUGCCGGCCGCAUUGGACAAGCAUCUCUGCCCUGCGGCGCAGAGUCUCCAGGACCAGCAGAUGGCGCACUUGCACAGUCCACACAUUUUCCAGGUUCUCAAGUGUUCAUUUCCUGGAUGUUCUGACUAAUUUAAACUAUGGUUAAUUGAAGACUGAAAUAUUCGGGAAACUAUGACAGGAACAAUUUGCUACGGACAGUUUCCACCUGUACUCUCAAGACUUAGAAGCCAUAUGGAUAGAAUGAAAUAGGAUCCCAUCAUUCUUGGCCCAUCUCGCCUAUCUCAAGUCAUUUUUUGCCCUCUCCCCACGUGCAGUCAGAAGACUGGAAGUGGAGAGGUGAGCAGUAGAUAGAGCAGUUUAUAAGACAAUGUUAAGACCAUGAUGAAAAGACAGAGGAAGCAGUAAAAAAGAAUAUGCGACACUU
rnacentral:lncRNA from 1 species